AGAUAAAGACUCAGUCCCCCCCUACAUCUUCUGUUAGGGAGAUGGGAGAUACCCGUCCCUGAGAUAAAGACUCUUACAUCUUCUGUUAGGGAGAUACCCAUCCCUGAGAUAAAGACUCAGUCCCCCCCUACAUCUUCUGUUAGGGAGAUACCCAUCCCUGAGAUAAAGACUCAGUCCCCCCUACAUCUUCUGUUAGGGAGAUGGGAGAUACCCAUCCC
rnacentral:lncRNA from 13 species